UGCAAAACAUUUUUGCAGAAUGAUAUAGUUCUCGAUUUCUCGUUGUUUUGAAUCCUUUUUUAAAAUGUUUUCGAGAUAAACUUUCUGCUUUGACCAUUUGGUCAAAGAUAUCCAAGUGGUACGUAUUUAAUAUCGCCCGUGAAAGACGACAAACCAAUUUUAAAAACUCAAGAAAUGUGGGAAAAGACGACUCUUGAAAUAUAUGGAUUUACACUCGGAUUUACAAAGGUAAAAAACGUAUUUUCAUAUUCAAUGUAGACUUAUAUCUUAUUUGACAUUUAUUAUCAGACUAUUUUUAAAAGAGGGAAUUAGGUUUUGUGUUAUGCAGUCCACUUAUGUAUAAGCUGGCUGCUGGAAGCUGAUCUGGGAAGGUAGUUUCUACCUAUAGCUUGGCUAGCUUUCUUGCAUGGUUGGGGAUACUUCUUCAUUUUUGUGUCAUAUAAAUAGUAAUAUAGAGGCUUGAGAUAAAUCACACUUCUCCCUAAGCUGAGGUAAUAAGGUUUAGCUGAGGUAUGUGCCAAGGCAUACAUGUGUGAUCACACCUCAUUCCCAUGAUGGCCUGUUUUCUUACAAGUUUUCUCAGUAAAUAUCACUCUGAAUAAAUAAUGUACUUUUAUAUUAAGUACACUCAUAGUUCUGAUACCCCUGGUUUAAGCUGAGGAGUAUAUUAGGUCACAUUCUUUUGUUUACCUUGAUCAUAUGCUAUAAUUAUGUUACUGGUGGAUUCUUGUACAACCUGUAUAAUUCAUCUAUUCUUUUUUAUUGCAGAUUUAUUCCACAAGCACACACUCCUUUCUGGGUGGCAAAAUACAGUACCAAGCCAUAUCUUUGGAA